CCUACGGGAGGCUGCAGUGGGGAAUAUUGGACAAUGGGCGAAAGCCUGAUCCAGCCAUGCCGCGUGUGUGAAGAAGGCCUUCGGGUUGUAAAGCACUUUCAGUGGGGAAGAAAGCCUUGGGGCUAAUACCCUCGAGGAAGGACAUCACCCACAGAAGAAGCACCGGCUAACUCCGUGCCAGCAGCCGCGGUAAUACGGAGGGUGCGAGCGUUAAUCGGAAUUACUGGGCGUAAAGCGCGCGUAGGCGGUCUGAUAAGCCGGUUGUGAAAGCCCCGGGCUCAACCUGGGAACGGCAUCCGGAACUGUCAGGCUAGAGUGCAGGUGAGGAAGGUAGAAUUCCCGGUGUAGCGGUGAAAUGCGUAGAGAUCGGGAGGAAUACCAGUGGCGAAGGCGGCCUUCUGGACUGACACUGACGCUGAGGUGCGAAAGCGUGGGUAGCAAACAGGAUUAGAUACCCCAGUAGUC
rnacentral:rRNA from 1 species